GAAUAUUGGACAAUGGGGGCAACCCUGAUCCAGCAAUGCCGCGUGUGUGAAGAAGGCCUUCGGGUUGUAAAGCACUUUAAGUUGGGAGGAAAAGCUGCUUGUUAAUAGCGAGUAGUGUUGACGUUACCAACAGAAUAAGCACCGGCUAACCCCGUGCCAGCCGCCGCGGUAAUACGGAGGGUGCAAGCGUUAAUCGGAAUUACUGGGCGUAAAGCGCGCGUAGGUGGUUUGUUAAGUUGGAUGUGAAAGCCCCGGGCUCAACCUGGGAACUGCAUCCAAAACUGGCAAGCUAGAGUACGGUAGAGGGUGGUGGAAUUUCCUGUGUAGCGGUGAUAUGCGUAGAUAUAGGAAGGAACACCAGUGGCGAAGGCGACCACCUGGACUGAUACUGACACUGAGGUGCGAAAGCGUGGGGAGCAAACAGG
rnacentral:rRNA from 1 species